AUUGGACGCUGGCGGCAGGCCUAACACAUGCAAGUCGAGCGGAUGAAGGGAGCUUGCUCCUGGAUUCAGCGGCGGACGGGUGAGUAAUGCCUAGGAAUCUGCCUGGUAGUGGGGGAUAACGUCCGGAAACGGGCGCUAAUACCGCAUACGUCCUGAGGGAGAAAGUGGGGGAUCUUCGGACUGAGGGCAAGUGGAUGAGCCUAGGUGGGAUUAUCUAGUUGGUGGGGUAAAGACCUACCAAGCCGACGAUCCGUAAUUGGUCUGAGAGGAUGAUCAGUCACCCUGGAACUGAGACACGGUCCAGACUCCUACGGGAGGCAGCAGUGGGGAAUCUUGGACAAUGGGCGAAAGCCUGAUCCAGCCAUGCCGCGUGUGUGAAGAAGGUCUUCGGAUUGUAAAGCACUUUAAGUUGGGAGGAAGGGCAGUAAGUUAAUACCUUGCUGUUUUGACGUUACCAACAGAAUAAGCACCGGCUAACUUCGUG
rnacentral:rRNA from 1 species